rnacentral:rRNA from 1 species
UACGUAGGGUGCAAGCGUUAAUCGGAAUUACUGGGCGUAAAGGGUGCGUAGGCGGUUGUUUAAGUCUGUCGUGAAAUCCCCGGGCUCAACCUGGGAAUGGCGAUGGAAACUGGGCAGCUAGAGUGUGUCAGAGGAUGGUGGAAUUCCCGGUGUAGCGGUGAAAUGCGUAGAGAUCGGGAGGAACAUCAGUGGCGAAGGCGGCCUGCUGGGCUGUUGCUGACGCUGAGGCGCGACAGCGUGGGGAGCAAACAGG